AUCAGAAGAGCAGCCAAUGUACUUAAGAAGCGAGCUGAUGAUGUAAAAAAACUUAGGGCCUUCUUCAAUGAGUUCAGAGCACAUAACAGUAAAUUCUAUUAUGAUGUAGAGGAUGACUCUGAGGGUGUUACGAAGAAUAUAUUCUGGAGUCAUGCUAGCUGCCAAGCAAACUAUGCUGAGUUUGGUGAUGUGGUUACUUUUGAUACAACAUAUAAGUGUAAUUUUUACAAAAUGUCGUUGGCGAUGUUUGUUGGGAGCAACCACCACUUGCAGAAUGUCAUUUUUGGGUUUGCACUCCUCCGUGACGAGACAGGGGAAUCAUUUAAAUGGGCUUUCCAAACUUUCAAAACAUGCAUGGGAGACAAGGAACCUCAUUGCAUACUUACCGAUCAAGAUGUAGCAAUGGAAAACGCUCUUCCGCACGUGUUUCCAAACACGUUGCAUAGGCUAUGCAGAUGGCAUGUAUGGGAAAGGCACAAAGUUGACUUGAAGCCACUGUUUGACUUGCAUGAUGGUUUAAAAGAUAAGCUACUAACAGCAAUAAAUCACCCACUUACCCCUCUAGAGUUUGAGUCUGCAUGGAAGGAUAUGGUGAAUGAAUAUGGCCUUGAGUCAGAUCCUACGAUCAGCAGUUUGUAUGAUCAGCGUGCACGUUGGAUUGCGGCAUACUUCAAAGCUGUUUACUGUGGGAGAAUGACGUCUACGCACCGCAGUGAAAGCAUGAACAGACUUGUGAAAAGACAUCAUGUUAACACUACGACACCUUUGCACGAGUUUGCACGAAAAAUGUACCUAGUCUUGCAAAAGAGAAAAGAAGCAGAAGGCUGAGAGACCAUUGCAUGUCAGGCACGCCCAGCAACAAUAACAAACUACCCUCUGGAAAAUCAGUUGAGCAGGAUCUAUACCCGUGCCGUAUUCAACAAAUACAAAGAUGCAUAUGUUUAUGGAACAUCUUUCCUUACAAAGGAAGUGGAUGCUGGUCGUUUCCUUGUGGUCUAUGGUAGAGAUGGCCCGUCUUUUUCUUGGUCCCAACAUGAGUUCAAAGUGGUUUGUGAUGAAGAAAAAGAAGACUACAGAUGUGAGUGCAUGCAGUGGGAGCACACAGGAUUGUUAUGCCCACACCUUAUUAUAGUGAUGACAAAUGAGCAGAUUCAGAGGCUUCCUAGCAAGUAUGUGCUAAGAAGAUACACAAGGAAUGCACGGAUUGACCCUCCUUACGACAGGAAUGACACUCUCCAAGUUGGAGCCGAUGGGACGCUAGUUAGCAUGACGCACUUUAAUAUGCUCAGGGAGGCUUUUGCCUGUGUUAGAGCAGGUGACAGAUCAACAAUUGCAUCUGUAAGAGUCAUGAAUGUGUUGAAGGAACUUAGGGCGCAGGUCGAGGAUCUGCCUGUUGAUGUAAUGCCCGUGUUUGAUGAAGGAGGUUGCAGUGCUCCAGCUGACCGUGAGAUGAUUAGUUUUAAAGCCCCGCCAGGGCUCUAGAUCAGAAGAAGGAGAAAGACAUGUCGGCGCACGCGGGCCAAAGAAGUGCACAAGAAGAUGCAGCAAAUGUGGCCUUAUGGACGGUCACAACAAGGCGUCAUGCACCAACAAACAACAAAGCAUCGCGACUGGUGGUACCAAA